rnacentral:lncRNA from 1 species
UGACAACUAUAGUUCCUUAGGAUAAAGGUCUUAUUCUUUUAAGACAAGCCUACUCCUAUUAUGGCAUAGAGUUUAAGAGGUCUUAAAGAAGGAGAUCAAUGCCUAAAAGAGGUUCUGAAAGGUUCAGACUCCAUUCUAGAGGAGGGUUUGAUCAGUUGGAGGCUAUUCGAGUUUUAGGAGUUAGAACUAUUAAAGCAAGGUUCAAGAAGGAGCACUGUCUUUAGAUCGGUUCUUGUAUGG